rnacentral:tRNA from 1 species
GGUUCCAUAGUGUAGCGGUUAUCACGUCUGCUUUACACGCAGAAGGCCCUGGGUUCGAGCCCCAGUGGAACCA